GCGCCUGUAGCUCAGUUGGAUAGAGCGCAAGCUUGCGGAGCUUGAGGUCACAGGUUCAAAUCCUGUCAGGCGUA
rnacentral:tRNA from 1 species